rnacentral:misc_RNA from 1 species
AACGCACCUUGCACCCUUUGGUAUUCCAAAGGGUACGCCCGUUUGAGUGUCAUUGUAAUCUCACUCCAACAGCCCUUUGCAGGCUGAUGGAGGUGGAUCUGGACUCUGCUGUGUCCCAUGGCUGGUCUAAAAUGCAUGAGUGCACCCUGCUGUUGCAGCGUCUUCAGUGUGAUAAGCAUCCUCACUGGAUAAAGUUCCCUUGGGACACGUAUGCUUGGUGGGCUCUGCGCUGUCUAACCGUCUGGCUAGCUGGACAACUUUUGACAACUUGACCUCAAAUCGGGUGGGACUACCCGCUGAACUUAA